UGACGAUGUCAACGACGAGAGCCUUUCC
rnacentral:sRNA from 1 species